AGCAGCCGCGGUAAUUCCAGCUCCAAUAGCGUAUAUUAAAGUUGUUGCAGUUAAAAAGCUCGUAGUUGAAUUUCGGGGUCAAUAAGUUGGUCAUGCCAAUGGUAUGCACUGGCUUUAUUGAUUCCUACCUCUUGACGAACUGUGAUGCCAUUAAUUUGGUGUUGCAAGGAAUCAGGACUGUUACCUUGAAAAAAUUAGAGUGUUUAAAGCAAGCUUACGCUUGAAUACAUUAGCAUGGAAUAAUGAAAUAGGACGUUUGAUCCUAUUUUGUUGGUUUCUAGGAUCGACGUAAUGAUUAAUAGGGAUAGUUGGGGGCAUUAGUAUUCAAUUGUCAGAGGUGAAAUUCUUGGAUUUAUUGAAGACUAACUACUGCGAAAGCAUUUGCCAAGGAUGUUUUCAUUAAUCAAGAACGAAAGUUAGGGGAUCGAAGACGAUCAGAUACCGUCGUAG
rnacentral:rRNA from 2 species